GGAGCUAGGGGUAGUAAGUCCCCUCUGAUUCGCGAUCAGAAGCUUUCACAGCACACGGGAGACCCAGGUUCGAAUCCUGGCAGUUCCU
rnacentral:tRNA from 1 species